UCAGCAGCAGCAGCAGCUUGCCGCGUUCGAACGUUCCUCGGAUCCGUCUGUGGCUCCUGUUACUUGGCCAGGUUUUGGUGGCGUGAGCAGCAUCCCGGUGGCUCUGGUUCCUUCCAAUGGAGGCUCUAUAUGACUGAUCAACCCCCAGGCUAUCCACAAAUGUCUACGCGCUGCUACCUUUGCAUACCAGGCCAUCACAGAACGGAGACAGUUCGGCCGCGGAGGUGUCGUGUGUAGAUCACCAGACCAGACCUUUGUCACGGCUUUGCUUAAGUGUUCAUCAUUCGCGUCACUGUCGGUGAGUGCCUUCAUCCCUGCUCGCCUCUCAUGCACUAAGUGAAUAGUUAGAGGUGUCGAUGCUGAUCUAUAUCCAUCAGAAACAUUAGAGAGAUUGUCUGGGACUGAAGUAAUUGCUGUUUAGCUGCAAUCGAGUUGUAGACAAUAAGAGUGCCCCAACAGAAUCGGUGAUUGCAACGUUCGCAGGAACUUCCUGUCCAUCAAAACUAAUAGUGUUCAGAGUUGAACCUCUGGCAUCGCGUCCGCUACAAUGUCCUAAUUGCUGGCGAUACGGCCAUAGUAGUGCAGGGUGCAGGUCAAGUCAGCGUUGUUGCACAUGUUGGGAAGAGCACGAUCAAAGUGAUUGUAGUGCCCAAGAUGAGCGAUGUUGCCUCUGUGGUGGAAGUCACCCAGCCUAUUGUUCUGACUGCUCUGUUAGGGCUCAAGAAUUGCAGCUGGUAGAAAUGAUACGAUGUUGCUCUAGGAAGGAGGCGAUUGUGAAAGAAAGGGCGCUUGGCUAUGCGGGUGUUAGAGGUAGACAAACUCUUACCUCGGACGUAUCACUAACAGCAACUAUAUAUAGGCCGCUGUAAAAAAGGCAGUUACAAAAGCUAUGGAACGGCUGGCAAUGAGCCUCGGGGAAUGUAUAUCGCAGGUCAUCUCAAGUCACUUCUUUCAUUUGAUGCAAGCUAACUGUAUAAGUCCUGCAACGACCCAAACAGUUGAUCCUAAGCCACAAACUAGUGAUAGAAGCUCAGGUAGCCAUCCUUCUAAUGGCGGUAUCGAACCUUCGAACCUCUGUGGGGCCUGCUAAUGUUAAUCUGGUUAACACAGAUUUGGACAUGACAUGUGGAACAAAAAGCUCGAGUGUAUAAAAGAGCAAUGUCAUCAAUCAAUGAUUCCUCAUCCGGCCCUAACUAAAACGCCAAGAAUAGUCAGCCCAGUGCUAUACCAAAAGCAAGCAUUCUACAGAAGGCAGUUUCGGCUGCGGCACUUUCUAAACAAUAGGGUCACUGAAAGUGCUUCAGUGGAACUGUCGCUGUUUAUAUUCUGCUUUAGUAGAUUUAUCUUGUCUAACUACUCAACUUAACCCUUAUUUAAUUCUUUUACAAGAGGUUAAAUUCUGCAAAAUAUCUUCAAAUAAAAUUUUACACAUUAUUUAGUCUAGGCCAUCCUACUAGAGGCGGUGAGCUAAUUACAUUUAUUUCGUGUCAAAUUUGCCACAAGGCCAAAAUUUCAUUUCAGCUUUCCACUCCCGAGUGUGAAAUCCUAAUGAUACAGCUGAAUCUGUCUGGAUGUUGCUCCCUUUACAAUUGCAAAUGCAUAUUUUCCUUUUGACGUACAGGACACACGUACACUGGACAGGGUUCUUAGUUCUUGUGGAUGGGGCAUCCUACUGUCAGGUGACUUCAAUUCUCACCAUAUAUGGGAUUAAAAAUAGAUUUGUGUGGCACCAGAUUAAGAAACUGGUCAUUGGACGUACUAUGGGCCAGCGUGCGUAAACUCCGGAUCUAUUACGUUUAUGCGGGUUCGAUCUUACUCUGCAAUAUAUCUUAGAUUCUGUGGCCCGAAUCUCUCCGUCUUGGUCGACUGUUGAGUGCGCGACAAGCAGUGAUCACCUUCCACUGAUUUUUGAAGUAGCACACCCUGUAACGCUUAUGAGAGUGAUCAGGUGCCAACUUUCAUCAAUUACAAUAUUUUUAAAAAGUGCUCCUUCUGAUGCGUACACUGAGCAAAAAGACCACGAUUAUCUGCUGCGCUAUGGAAAGUUCUUGCAGAAAGUCUGAAUUUGAGAUUCAUCUAAACAACAGAAAUUCAUACAUCCCUUGGUGGAGUAAAGAAUGCGCUCGUGAUAACAGAAAGAGAAAACCCGUUUGGAAAAAAAUAACACAUAACCAGAGUCCCACAAAUUGGAGCGAUUAUAAAUUUUUGCGAGCAGUCUUUAAACAUACAGUAUCAAAAGGCAAAGACGAAUACGACUGCAAGCAUCUUGACUUCCCAUCUAACAAUAAAAAUAAACGUGUGCUGUUUAGUUUUCUCUGCAGUAGGAAAGUUCUUCCGCUUCUAAUUGAUAUUGCCUUAUAGUCUUAAGUAGUAAUGGAAUGAACCAAUCACUAGAAGAAGUCGCGAAGGGAUUAGAAAUUAGAUUUUCUUCAGCUUUGCCAAAUUGUUCUAGCUUACGAAGAGCAUCAGAUGAUUUUGCAGAAAUUACUAUGUUAGAAUUGGCUGAAAUCGUGGAGCGUCUGCCAGCUUCAGCUCCCGGGGCAGAUGGGGUAACCUCUGCCAUGAUCGACAUUUUAGUUAAGGAAGCUCCUGAUGACCUUUUAGCUAUUCUAAAUCACUCAAUGAGAUUUUCAUGGAUUCCGUUUGCAUGGAAAAUUGCUAAAAUAUUUCCAGUUCUUAAAAAUCACGGAGAAGGAUCUACAAUAAAUAACAUUAGACCAAUCGCACUAACCUCAAAUUUGGCGAAAUUAAUUGAAAGAAUCCUAUAUGCCCGUAUGCUUAAAUUUGUAGAGAGCAAAGGCUUGCUUAAUCCCUGCCAAAUUGGAUUCCGACUAUCAUGUUCAAUCUGGCAUGCUCACGUGGACUUAGAAAAUAGAAUAAAAUUAGCAUGGCGCCAAAGGCAGAUAGGGGCUAUUGUGACACUAGACAUCUCCAUACCCUACGUUAGUGUAGAAUAUGUGAAUAUGAAUUUUGAAAUGGGAGGAAAUUCUACUGCUCUCUAAGACGCUUUUCGAGCAUACAUAAUGAAUCACGAGGUGUUCCUCAAGGAGCUGUCACUUCUCCAUUAUUAUUCGUACUCCGUUUUUCUACUCUCUUAAUGGCUCGAAAUUAGUUUCCGUCAUUCCUACAAAUAUCUUGGUGUCCACAUUUCUAAUGACAUAACACGGCAUGAGCAGAUUCAUUAUGUAAUUAACAGUGCAAACCGCAUACUUGGUUUUUUGUGCCGCAACUUCUCUUCAGCCACCGUCUCACUGAAACUAAAGCUCUAUAAAACAUUAGUUAAGUCCAAAGUAGAAGUGCUCAUUUCCUCUGUUGAGGCUAUCCAGAACCGUUCAGCUCGUU